UACGAAGGGUGCAAGCGUUACUCGGAAUCACUGGGCGUAAAGCGUGCGUAGGCGGUUCGUUAAGUCUGCUGUGAAAGCCCGGGGCUCAACCCCGGGUCUGCCGUGCCGACUGUUAAACUCGAGGGCUGUAGAGGCAGACGGAAUUCCGGGUGUAGCGGUGGAAUGCGUAGAGAUCCGGAGGAAGACCGGUGGCGAAGGCGGUCUGCUGGGCAGUUUCUGACACUGAUGCGCGACAGCGUGGGGAGCAAACAGG
rnacentral:rRNA from 1 species